rnacentral:miRNA from 1 species
UACUACUCUCUCCGUCCCAAA